AUUUACUAAUUUUUUAAUAAUAAAUUAAUCUUGAUUGAUCUGAAGAUUUAGGUGCUAAAUACCCAGUAAUACCACCAGGAUUUGUUUUCUCUAUACUAAUUAUCAUCUCUUUCUCCAACUUCAUCACAUGCAACAAUCAACAUAUUCUUAGUAGCUGCAAUUUUGACGCCAUAUAUCAAGUCGGGGAUUCCAUAGCAGAUACGGGUAAUGAUGUGCAAGACAACCCUUCAUCAAUAUUUGCAAGGUUUCCCUAUGGAGAAACCUCCAAGAAAGCAACUGGGAGAUGCUCCGAUGGUUUGUUGAUGAUUGAUUAUAUAGGAUUUCUUGCAAUAAUUAAAGCAAAUCCUUGGUGGCCACCGCCUCCGCCUCCGCCUCUGCCUCUGCCGGCCUUAGCUAAGAAUAAAAGGUGGUAGAUAAGUCAAAGCCUAGCGUGGCUUUCUAUACGUAACCUCCUUCACUUUUAAGACUUUAGAAAUUAUGUCGCUUUCUUCUUCUUUUUAAUCAUUUUAUAACCCACAUAAUUAUAAUAAUCUAACAAUGAAGAUCAUGAUUGGUGAGGAUAUCUUUAAAAUUUCAUCAGCCGGCCGAAAAGAAAACAUAGGAACUGAAUGAAUGGUAGCAAUAUGGGCUAAAAUGAUUGAUGUUGGACUCAAAAUUUUGGUAAUUGUUAUAGGCUUCGUGUUGAAUAA